rnacentral:tRNA from 1 species
AAAAUCCGUCGAUUUCUGAAAUCGUGAGGG